rnacentral:lncRNA from 1 species
AUUUACAGCUUCUCCACAUAAAAUGAUCCAGUAUAUCGUUCUUCUACCAAACAACCUUUCACUUCCUUCCAUCUUCUCUUAUCUCUCUCCCGGUUUUGAUCGGCUUAAGAGCGGAGCUGCUGUCCCACCGUUUUUGCUUCAUUCAAUAUCAGUGUCACGAGUUCAAUAUCAAUCUCAGGAGAGAAGCAUGGUCACACACAGAAAGAGGACUUUUUUUCGGAACUGAUUCACCUCUAAUCGUGUUUCUUCCAGGUGAUUGUUGUCGGAGAUGAUGAAAAACAUAGGUAGAAACAUGCCGCCUUUUGUAUUCCUCAAAUUUCCCUCUGGAGUUUUUAACCUCGAUUUAAGGCUCACCGUUUCUCACUUGGUAGAAGUUUUCUUCAAUCAAUGAUCCCCACCCAUUCUCUGCGAUUUUGUUAUCCCCGACCAUCGAUUUUAGAUUUGGGAGAAACCGUAGAUGUUAUCGUCGAGGUUCUGAAAGAGUGAAUCCUCGAUUUAACGUUUUUCGUCCUCUUACGUGAUGAGGUCGACGCCUACUACAACGAAGGCUGGUCGGAGGGAAUUAUCGCCGUCAUCAUACCCGGGAACUGAUAGUCGAUUUCGGUGAAAUCCCAGAUGUUCAGAUUUCCUCCGGAAAUGCUUAGACUAUCUCUACUCUUCACCAACUCAAAACUUCUUCAUCUUACAGCAAGUUUUCUCUAGAUUCCCAUUCUACUUUCACAAUUUGUACACCAAAUAAACUUUUCCUAUUUCUUUUAAGGAUGUUUACCCUUUUUCUUUAUUUUUAUCUUUGUUCCUGCAGGGAAUUUGAUCACUUGCCUCCAUCAUAACCCAAGAAAAAGAUUCAGUUAUACCCCAACCACUUCAUAUUGACAUUUGAAAUAGGGUCUUACUACGCACCCCAACUGCUCGAUGAAAUGCUUGAACUAGGAUGCCUAGAAAAGAUCAGUUUUUUUCUUCUGGAAAUAUAGAAAAAAAGUAAUUGCUUGAGUUUAGGACAUGUAUUCAUUUUGUGUUAACAUUUUUUGCUUGGUUUUAAUUUUAUCUGAUUAUAACAUUUACUAUUUAGUAAUCAGUUUUCAUCAUCAACAUUUGUAUGUUUUUUUUUUUGUAAAAUUGUUGGUUAUACACUUAUGUUUAACCAUCUUUGCUCCUCCAUGGGAAACAGCUGAUUUCUAUUCAGAGAGAUACAGCGAGUUGUUCCCUCUUUACAAGGUUUUGCUUUAACUGCUUCAACUUAUCAUUGAAGGUUAUUCGGUUAUUAUGUUUUUUGUUUAAUUUUAAGGAUUAGAUUGUGGAUGCUUUAGGUCAAUUUCACUUCAUUACAAGUUUUAAUUUUAAUGCAAUUUGGAAAUUUAUGCAGAUGAUGAAGCCAAGUCGACUCUUCAUGGGUAGAUCCAGGUAUGUUUAUCCAUGAUAAAAUUGGAUGUUAUUUUCUGGUAUAUUAGAUACAUUCAUUCCAUUGUAAUGAAAGAGGAAUGUGCAAUUUGGUUUUAUUUUUACUGUAAUCAAUUCAUUUAUAAAUUUGAAGAUUAAGACUUUUGACUUGGAGAAGAGAAUAGUCAAAAUGGAUUGAGAGAAGUUUAAACAUGUUUGAGAGGAAAGGGUAUAGCUAGAAAGUUUAAGGUGGGCAGAUGGUUAAAGAGUUUGAGAGGUAUGGGCAUAAUUGGGCAGUUGAAGGCUAGGUUGAAGGUAAGCAGAAAUUCAAGAGUUGGUGUACAUUAAAGUCUAAAAAGAAAUAUUAUCAUGCUCUGUAUGACCUUUUAAUAUAAUGCAAGAAAGUAUGAAUUUCAUAUAUAUAUAAUGAACAACAUGUAUACAAAAGAACCAUAAAUUCGAAACAAACAUGUCUGAAAAAACCACAUGGGUCCUUUUCCUAGUUCGUAUUCAAAACACAUGAGUCAUUUCAAACCGGUUGAAAACGUAUCAUAACAUACCCGAAUGUAAAAUACGCAUUACAGUCCUCGGCUGAUAAAUGGACCAUUUAAUGAUAUAAAAAAAUAAAAAAUAAAAUAAAAAACAAUAUAUUUUAGGGGUCUAUGAACUUAUAAUAUUUGGUGUUGCUGUCAAUUAAAAACAGAGCAAGUAUCGUCCCUCUGCACAAAUUUUAUGUGGUGGCAAGUAAACGGGAGAAACCUUCUAAUGUGGAAAAUAUAUAUUAACGGUUAAGUAUCCUCUCAAAAAAAAAAAAGAAAGAUUCUCCUUCUAGUUUGCUCCCUUUCAAUGUUCCUAUUACCUCCCUACGUACCUGUCAUAUUUCUUCAACAUUUCACUAAUACUCCACAUAUCCGCUGAACAAAAUGCUUUUUAAGAAAAAACUCUCACCUUGAUUUAAUAAAAACGCAUCAAACACUUGUAUUUAAAAACAUUAGAGCAAUAAUAUUGUUGAACUAACUAGUGACAACAUAUUGUUACUUUUCUUUUAAAAUACCAACAGAGAAAAGCAGUUGCUAGAAGUAGUGUAAAUUAUGUUGUUUACAGGUGCUAUUUGGUCAUCUUGGGUUAUCUACAAUACCCGUCUAUAAUUUGGGAAUUAAUUCAUCGCUAAAAUACUUGUGACCCACUUGUAGCGACAUCCGGAGUUUGAAAGGCGACGAAUCAACAAAUUUGGUUCUCAAUGCUUAGUGAGUGUCUCUUCGUUUGGAGAUGAGAAAGGAAAUUUUAAAGAACUAAAACAUGUGUGAACAAUUGAAAUGUGAAAGCAUAAGAAUUUACAAGCAUCUACUAGCCCUCUCCCAGUCUCCCUUAUGUGAUGAAUGACAGAAUGAACUUACGAAGAACGAAGACAUGAAUGAUUAAAUCAUUAUCUAACGGCGUCGAAGCAUACGAUUGAAUUUAUCUAUGUUUGUAUUAGUGUUUUAGUUUAAACAUGUUUCCAUGAAUGCUGUUAAUUUUCAUUUGGAUGUUUAAGACUUAAGUUUCUAAAAUCCAGAUAUGUUUGCA